AGUCCCGUCAGCAGCUUCAUUGUGAAGUCUCAAUUCCUUCCUAAUCACAACGAAAGAAAGAACAACCUUGAAACCACCCGGAAACAACUGCAUAGCAACACCUUGGCAACCACCCGCAAUAUAUUAUUUCAAUCUCUUUUACAAACAGAACUCAUUGACUGAUUGAAUAUCUUUUUGAUUCUAAAUCUUUUCAUCAUAAUCCCAAUGUAGGUGCAGCAAGUGACCUCCUUGCCCUUGAGAAUAACCUGCUGACCUGCUGUUAGGGAGGCGAAAUUCGACAUCCUCCCGGUCCUCUGUGAGCCUGACUCUGCCAACUAACCCACGUGGGUAAACAACACCUCGGCCUUCUGCUCUCCACGCAUGCUGACCUCAGCUGCAUUUUUUCUGCUGCGGUUGGUGACCUGCAAGGCAGAUCCUGCUCAAAUUAACGCUGCUUCAAAACCUCCGCCCACAUGAUGGGCACAGGUUGGCACCCUUCUGCGAGCCCUGCUUAGUUUGACCACGGUGGUCAAAAAAUGGAUCGGGGAACAAACCGGAAACAUCUGUUUGAGCUCCGUCCCAUCCCAGUGUAGUUCAGAGGACUCACCAGCGUGCAGAAUCUCUCCGGCGGGUUCCCACAGGUGAUGCCCGGCGGCUCCACGCGGAUGCGCAUGUACUCCUUCAUGAACUGGGCUUUGGGUUGGCACGCGUAAUGCUCCCACAUGGCGCCUUCGUCCGUGCUCACGAGAGACUUGCAAAGGUCGUACUGGCCUCGGGCUCUCGCCAGCACGUGCACCAGCAGGUAGAGGAGUCCCGCGCGUCCACGCAUGGCAGGCACGUGACCGAGAGGGGGUUUCCGAAGGGAAAGGGACCACCGAGGGUUCAGAGGUGAGAAGCGUUAACAUGGAACAGCAGCACCGGUGGUCAGGUUAAAACAUCCCAUAACUUCGCCACAGUCAUGCUUUCAUUUACU